rnacentral:rRNA from 1 species
AGGGGUAACAUAAGGUGCUUGCACUUUGAUGACGACCGGCGCACGGGUGAGUAACGCGUAUACAAUCUGCCUCAUACUAGGGAAUAGCCCAGAGAAAUUUGGAUUAAUGCCCUAUAGUAUCAUUAAGAGUCAUCUCUUUUUGGUUAAAGGUUACGGUAUGAGAUGAGUAUGCGUUCUAUUAGUUAGUAGGUGAGGUAACGGCUCACCUAGACUGCGAUAGAUAGGGGCCCUGAGAGGGGGAUCCCCCACACUGGUACUGAGACACGGACCAGACUCCUACGGGAGGCAGCAGUGAGGAAUAUUAGACAAUGGGCGAAAGCCUGAUCUAGCCAUGCCGCGUGCAGGAUGACGGCCCUAUGGGUUGUAAACUGCUUUUAUACAGGAAGAAAAAACUCUACGUGUAGAGUCUUGACGGUACUGUAAGAAUAAGGAUCGGCUAACUCCGUGCCAGCAGCCGCGGUAAUACGGAGGAUCCAAGCGUUAUCCGGAAUUAUUGGGUUUAAAGGGUCCGUAGGUGGACAAUUAAGUCAGAGGUGAAAUCCUGCAGCUCAACUGUAGAAUUGCCUUUGAAACUGGUUGUCUUGAGUCAUUAUGAAGUGGUUAGAAUGUGUAGUGUAGCGGUGAAAUGCAUAGAUAUUACACAGAAUACCAAUUGCGAAGGCAGAUCACUAAUAAUGUACUGACACUGAUGGACGAAAGCGUGGGUAGCGAACAGGAUUAGAUACCCUGGUAGUCCACGCCGUAAACGAUGGUUACUAGCUGUUCGGACUUCGGUCUGAGUG